CCAUUACCCCGGCAGUCAGUCGAUGAGUGAUAAGAUCCAUCGUCGAGAGGGAAACAACCCAGAUCAGCGGCUAAGGUGCCAAAAUACCGUUCAGUGGUAAGGAGGUGAAGUGACAUAGACAGUGAGGAUGUUGGCUUAGAAGCAGCCACCAUUUAAACAGUGCGUAACAGCUGACUCAUCGAGUUAUUUCGCGCCGAAAAUGAUUGGCGAUAAACGGUAUACCGACGCCCUGGGUGUCUUCGGACACGGUAGGAGAGCGUAGUCUUUGCGUCGAAGCUGUUCUGUAAAGAGCGGUGAAGCGGAGACUAGCGAGAAUGCAGACAUGAGUAGCGAUAAACAAAGUGAGAAUCUUUGUCUCCGUAAACCUAAGGUUUCCUGGGCCAGGCUCGUCCUCCCAGGGUUAGCCGGGACCUAAGGCGAGGCCGAAAGGCGUAGUCGAUGGAUAACAGGUUAAUAUUCCUGUGCUAAAGCGCAAAAUGGGACGCAUGACAGUAAGGUGACACACACUAUGAUAUGUGAGUUUAGGCUUCGGCCGAAACACGUCACCCUAAGUUGUGCCGAGAAAACCGCGCAGGCCCGUACCGUAAACCGACACAGGUAGGUGAGUCGAAUAGACUAAGGAGCGCGAGAGAAAUCUCUCCAAGGAACUCGGCAAAUUAGCCCCGUAACUUCGGAAGAAGGGGUGCCCAUUUCGGUGGGCCACAGUAAAUUGGGACUGGCGACUGUUUACCAAAAACACAGCUCUCUGCAAAGUCGUGAAGACGACGUAUAGGGAGUGACACGUGACCAAUGCGAAAAGAUUAAGGUGACUUGUUAGCCCUUGAGGCGAAGCUCGGAGCCCAAGUCCUCGUGAAUGUCGGCCGUAACUAUAACGGUCCUAAGGUAGCGAAAUUCCUUGUCGGGUAAGUUCCGACCUGCACGAAUCGUGCAACGACCGGUCCGCUGUCUCGGAGAGAAUCUCGGCGAAGUUGUAAUUGCGGUGAAGAUGCCGCAUACCCGCAGUAGGACGGAAAGACCCUGUACACCUUUACUAUAAGCAAGUAUUGGCUUUUGAUUAGUGAUGCGUAGCGUAGGUGGGAGACUUUGAAGUGAUGGCUUAGGUUGUCAUGGAGUCGAAAUGUGAAACACCACUCUUUACUACUUAGAAUUCUAACAAUGAUUUCUCUGAAGCGAGACAUUGAACAGUGCUUGCGGGUUAGUUUGACUGGGGCGGUUUCCUCCCAAAAAGUAACGGAGGAGCACUAAGGUACCUUCAGCAUGGUUAGCAACCA
rnacentral:rRNA from 1 species